rnacentral:rRNA from 1 species
GACGAACGCUGGCGGCGUGCUUAACACAUGCAAGUCGAACGGAAAGGCCCUGCUUUUGUGGGGGGCUCGAGUGGCGAACGGGUGUGUCACACGAGAGUAACCUGCCCUAGACUUUGGGAUAACUUCAGGAAACUGUGGCUAAUACCGUAUAGGAGCUCCUGCUGCAUGGUGGGGGGUGGAGAGUUUCGGCGGUUGGGGAUGGACUCGCGGCUUAUCAGCUUGUUGGUGGGGUAGUGGCUUACCAAGGCGUUGACGGGUAGCCGGCCUGAGAGGGUGACCGGCCACAUUGGGACUGAGAUACGGCCCAGACUCCUACGGGAGGCAGCAGUGGGGAAUAUUGCACAAUGGGCGGAAGCCUGAUGCAGCAACGCCGCGUGCGGGAUGACGGCCUUCGGGUUGUAAACCGCUUUCGCCUGUGACGAAGCGUGAGUGACGGUAAUGGGUAAAGAAGCACCGGCUAACUACGUG